rnacentral:rRNA from 1 species
GACGAACGCUGGCGGCGUGCCUAAUACAUGCAAGUAGAACGCUGAAGAGAGGAGCUUGCUCUUCUUGGAUGAGUUGCGAACGGGUGAGUAACGCGUAUGUAACCUGCCUUGUAGCGGGGGAUCACUAUUGGAAACGAUAGCUAAUACCGCAUAACAAUGUGUUACACAUGUCAUUUAUUUUAAAUGGGCAAUUGCUCCACUCCAAUAUGGACCUGCGUUGUAUUAGCUAGUAGGUGAGGUAAUGGCUCACCUAGGCGACGAUACAUAGCCGACCUGAGAGGGUGAUCGGCCACACUGGGACUGAGACACGGCCCAGACUCCUACGGGAGGCAGCAGUAGGGAAUCUUCGGCAAUGGGGGGAAGCCUGACCGAGCAACGCCGCGUGAGUGAAGAAGGUUUUCGGAUCGUAAAGCUCUGUUGUAAGUGAAGAACGGGUGUGAGAGUGGAAAGUUCACACUGUGACGGUAGCUUACCAGAAAGGGACGGCUAACUACGUG